rnacentral:rRNA from 1 species
GCAAGUCGAGGGGCAGCACGGGUAGCAAUACCUGGUGGCGACCGGCAAACGGGUGCGGAACACGUACGCAACCUUCCCAUAACUGGUGAAUAGCCUUUCGAAAGGGAGAUUAUUACACCGUAACAUAACGAAGCGGCAUCGCUUUGUUAUUAUAGGCUUCGGCCGGUUUUGGAUGGGCGUGCGCCUGAUUAGGUAGUUGGCGGGGUAACGGCCCACCAAGCCUGCGAUCAGUAACUGGUGUGAGAGCACGACCAGUCACACGGGCACUGAGACACGGGCCCGACUCCUACGGGAGGCAGCAGUAAGGAAUAUUGGUCAAUGGACGAAAGUCUGAACCAGCCAUGCCGCGUGAAGGAUGAAGGCCCUCUGGGUUGUAAACUUCUUUUAUCUGGGACGAAAAAAGGGUAUUCUUACUCACUUGACGGUACCAGAGGAAUAAGCACCGGCUAACUCCGUGCCAGCAGCCGCGGUAAUACGGAGGGUGCAAGCGUUAUCCGGAUUCACUGGGUUUAAAGGGUGCGUAGGUGGGUCUGUAAGUCAGUGGUGAAAUCUCCGAGCUUAACUCGGAAACUGCCAUUGAUACUAUAGGUCUUGAAUUAUCUGGAGGUAAGCGGAAUAUGUCAUGUAGCGGUGAAAUGCUUAGAUAUGACAUAGAACACCAAUUGCGAAGGCAGCUUACUACGGAUAUAUUGACACUGAGGCACGAAAGCGUGGGGAUCAAACAGGAUUAGAUACCCUGGUAGUCCACGCCCUAAACGAUGGAUACUCGACAUCAGCGAUACACUGUUGGUGUCUGAUCGAAAGCAUUAAGUAUCCCACCUGGGAAGUACGACCGCAAGGUUGAAACUCAAAGGAAUUGACGGGGGUCC